rnacentral:rRNA from 1 species
UACGUAGGGUGCAAGCGUUGUCCGGAAUUAUUGGGCGUAAAGAGCUCGUAGGCGGCCUGUCGCGUCGACUGUGAAAACCCAGGGCUCAACCCUGGGCCUGCAGUCGAUACGGGCAGGCUAGAGUGCAGUAGGGGAGACUGGAAUUCCUGGUGUAGCGGUGAAAUGCGCAGAUAUCAGGAGGAACACCGGUGGCGAAGGCGGGUCUCUGGGCCGAUACUGACGCUGAGGAGCGAAAGCGUGGGGAGCGAACAGG